rnacentral:tRNA from 2 species
GCAUUGGUGGUUCAGUGGUAGAAUUCUCGCCUUCCAUGUGGGAGACCUGGGUUCGAUUCCCAGCCAAAGCA